CACAGUUCUUGCAGCAUGCCCGCCAUGUGUUUCUAUGUCAGUGGCAACUGAGCGCGCCCAUCUGUUUCUGCCCCUUCAUAGUUGAC
rnacentral:lncRNA from 1 species